rnacentral:rRNA from 1 species
AUUGAACGCUGUCGGCAGGCCUAACACAUGCAAGUCGAGCGGAGCGGCGGACGGGUGAGUAAUGCCUAGGAAUCAGCCUGGUAGUGGGGGAUAACGUCCGGAAACGAGCGCUAAUACCGCAUACUAUGAGAUGAGCCUAAGUCGGAUUAGCUAGUUGGUGGGGUAAAGGCCUACCAGGGGGACAAUCCUUAACUGGUCUGAGAGGAUAAUCAGUCACACUGGAACUGAGACACUGUCCAGACUCCUACGUGAGGGAGCAGUGGGGAAUAUUGGACAAUGGGCGAAAGCCUGAUCCAGCCAUGACGCGUGUGUGAAGAAGGUCUUCGGAUUGUAAAGCAUUUUAAGUUGGGAGGCGUUACCAACAGAAUAAGCACCGGCUAACUUCGCGCCAGCAGCCGCGGUAAUAC